rnacentral:antisense_RNA from 1 species
UUUCCUCCAUCUGCCUGCCUGUCUCAGCUGGAAAUCUCCAUCAUCAGUCAGUGGACUGAUGGAUCAUGGCACUAAAACUCCUCAGUAGAAGGCAGCUGCAUUAUCUAAGGGGGGGAACAUGUUAAACAGGUACCAUUAUCAAAGGAAUGACUUAAGGUAAAAUAGAACAAUGAAGAGGCUGUCGUUUUGAAGUCAGAUCUGAAUUUCUCACCUGGCUCUAUUACUUUCUUACUGUGUAAUGCUGGCUUGAUGCAGAUGAGCAGGUAACCAUGGAAGUCGUGAGCUGAGGCUGCAGAGUCUAGAGCCAGAGUGUGGAAUAAACUUGGGUCUCAAAUCACCCCUGGAGCAAAGCCCCCAUCUAAUCAGGAACUUCUACUUUCAACUUUACAUGCGUGAGAAAUGAACUUCUAUCAUGUUAGAGAAAUCCUUACACGGCGCCCUUGAGAGCUUUCAUACUGCAAGUCAUCCAUUUUCCUCCCCUCAAACCUGGCAUCGGUGUUUAUUGAAACAAAGCAAAAUAAAACAAAUAGACAA